rnacentral:sRNA from 12 species
AGUGAGUUAGUAGUUCGCUGAGUAACUGAAGGGUGCAUUAUUUGUACCAGCAAGCUUGCCUUGUGGGAUCCUUCAGUCAGGGGAAAGCUCACUUUUUU